rnacentral:rRNA from 1 species
CAGUCGCCACGGUAAUACGAAGGGUGCAAGCGUUACUCGGAAUUACUGGGCGUAAAGCGUGCGUAGGUGGUGGUUUAAGUCCGUUGUGAAAGCCCUGGGCUCAACCUGGGAAUGGCAGUGGAUACUGGCUCGCUAGAGUGUGUCAGAGGAUGGUGGAAUUCCCGGUGUAGCGGUGAAAUGCGUAGAGAUCGGGAGGAACAUCAGUGGCGAAGGCGGCCAUCUGGGACAACACUGACGCUGAGGCACGAAAGCGUGGGGAGCAAACAGGAUUAGAUACCCCGGUAGUCCCUGUCUCUUAUAC